rnacentral:rRNA from 1 species
UGGCGAGCGGGAACGGCUGAGUAACACGUAGUACCUGCCCCAACUCAGGGAUAAGCCUUGGAAACGAGGUCUAAUACCGGAUGUCCCAGUAACGGGAAAGAUUUUAUCGGUUUGGGAGGGGCUUGCGACGUAUCACGCUUGUUGGUGAGGUAACUGCUCACCAAGGCUAUGACGCGUAUCUGGUGUGAGAGCACGACCAGACAGAGUGGGACUGAGACACGGCCCACACUCCUACGGGAGGCAGCAGUGAGGAAUUUCCACAAUGGGCGAAAGCCUGAUGGAGCAAUCUCACGUGGAGGAUGACACCUCUCGGGGCGUAAACUCCUUUUCUGAGGGAAGAAGUUCUGACGGUACCUCAGGAAUAAAGGGCGGCUAAUUCCGUGCCAGCAGCCGCGGUAAUACGGAAGCCCUAAGCGUUAUCCGGAAUCACUGGGCGUAAAGCGAUCGAAGGUGGACCAGUUAGUCUGACAUCAAAUCCCUGCGGCUCAACCGAGGGUUCGUGUCGGAAACUGCUGGACUAGAGGAAUGCAGAGGAAACUGGAAUUUCUGUUGUAGGGGUAAAAUCCGUAGAUAACAGAAGGAACACCAAAAGCGAAGGCAGGUUUCUGGGCAUUUCCUGACGCUGUGCGAUCGAAAGCGUGGGGAGCGAAAGGGAUUAGAUACCCCUGUAGUCCACGCCGUAAACGAUGGAUACUCGGUGUAGGUAAGUUCAAUCCUUAUCUGUGCCCUAAGCUAACGCGAUAAGUAUCCCGCCUGGGGAGUACGGUCGCAAGACUAAAACUCAAAGGAAUAGACGGGGAUCCACACAAGCGGUGGAGCAUUCUGGUUUAAUUCGAUAAUAAGCGGAGAACCUUACCAGGACUUGACAUCCCGAGAAUGUUCUAGAAAUAGAAAAGGUGCCUUUUUAAGGAAUUCGGUGACAGGUGUUGCAUGGUUGUCGUCAGCUCGUGCCUUGAGGUGUGCGGUUAAGUCCGUGAACGAGCGCAACCCUCGUCGUACGUUGUAUUUUUCGUGCGAGACUGCCCGUUUUACGCGGGAGGAAGGUGAGGAUGACGUCAAAUCAGCAUGACCCUUAUGU